AGUGAACGCUGGCGGUAGGCCUAACACAUGCAAGUCGAACGGCAGCACAGUAAGAGCUUGCUCUUACGGGUGGCGAGUGGCGGACGGGUGAGGCAUACAUCGGAAUCUACUUUUUCGUGGGGGAUAACGUAGGGCAACUUACGCUAAUACCGCAUAUGUUCUACGGGUGAAAGCAGGGGAUAUUCGGACCUUGCGCGAUUGAAUGAGCCGAUGUCGGAUUAGCUAGUUGGCGGGGUAAAGGCCCACCAAGGCGACGAUCCGUAGCUGGUCUGAGAGGAUGAUCGGCCACACUGGAACUGAGACACGGUCCAGACUCCUACGGGAGGCAGCAGUGGGGAAUAUUGGACAAUGGGCGCAAGCCUGAUCCAGCCAUGCCGCGUGAGUGAUGAAGGUCUUCGGAUUGUAAAGCCCUGUUAUUGGGAAAGAAAAGAUGCAGAUUUAUACCCCGCUGUUCUGACGGUACCCAAUCAAAAAGCACCGGCUAACUUCGUG
rnacentral:rRNA from 1 species